AGCUGAUCGGCUGCUGCAGAAGAACACAGCCCCGUACAUAUAUGACAGCCAGAGAUCUGCAUCUAGGAGUGCUUGGAAUAUUCAAGAAUGCUCGUCACUUCUUCCUGGUGUUUAGUUAUCAAUAUGAUACAGAAAGAACACCAAUCAAGUCAGGAUUGAACCUUCAUCACAGGAUCUCGACUGCAAAGGGUUGUUCCAAACAACCCCAUCACAGUGGCUGGCACAUGAGGAUCUCGCAUCUUUAAGACACCUUGCACAGUUCCUGGCUUGCCAUCCACACUUAAUAAAUACCAGGUUUUCCCUUUGUGUUCUGGUCUG
rnacentral:lncRNA from 1 species